UACGGAGGAUGCGAGCGUUAUCCGGAUUUAUUGGGUUUAAAGGGAGCGCAGGCGGUCGUUUAGGCCAGCCGUGAAAUUUCCGCGCUUAACGCGGUCCUUGCGGUUGGAACCGGACGUCUUGAGUGGGGUACAGGAAGGCGGAAUUCGUGGUGUAGCGGUGAAAUGCUUAGAUAUCACGAAGAACUCCGAUUGCGAAGGCAGCUUUCCGGACCUUUACUGACGCUCAUGCUCGAAAGCGCGGGAAU
rnacentral:rRNA from 1 species